UACGUAGGGUGCGAGCGUUGUCCGGAAUUAUUGGGCGUAAAGAGCUCGUAGGCGGUGUGUCGCGUCGGCCGUGAAAUCCCGAGGCUCAACCUCGGGUCUGCAGUCGAUACGAGCAAACUAGAGUGUUGCAGGGGAGACUGGAAUUCCUGGUGUAGCGGUGAAAUGCGCAGAUAUCAGGAGGAACACCGGUGGCGAAGGCGGGUCUCUGGGCAACAACUGACGCUGGAGGAGCGAAAGCGUGGGGAGCGAACAGG
rnacentral:rRNA from 1 species